rnacentral:rRNA from 1 species
AUUGAACGCUGGCGGAAUGCUUUACACAUGCAAGUCGAACGGUAGAGGGGGCAACCCCUCGAGAGUGGCGAACGGGUGAGUAAUAUAUCGGAACGUGCCCAGUCGUGGGGGAUAACGUAGCGAAAGUUACGCUAAUACCGCAUACGAUCUAAGGAUGAAAGCGGGGGAUCGCAAGACCUCGCGCGAUUGGAGCGGCCGAUAUCAGAUUAGGUAGUUGGUGGGGUAAAGGCUCACCAAGCCAAAGAUCUGUAGCUGGUCUGAGAGGACGACCAGCAACACUGGAACUGGGACACGGUCCAGACUCCUACGGGAGGCAGGAGUGGGGAAUUUUGGACAAUGGACGCAAGUCUGAUCCAGCCAUUCCGCGUGCAGGAUGAAGGCCCUCGGGUUGUAAACUGCUUUUGUACGGAACGAAAAGGUCUCUCUUAAUACGGGGGGCUCAUGACGGUACCGUAAGAAUAAGCACCGGCUAACUACGUGCCAGCCGCCGCCGUAA